UUGGGGACUACAGCUCGCUUGGAGCUUGUUGAAGACACAAUGUGGGGAGACGAAUCAGAGAGAGCGAGAGGAAAGAGUCCACAAACGAGCAAGCUGAUCCGCUGACAGAGAAGAAGGCCACAUAGAGCAUUUCUGCCUUUGUUUUUGCCAGCUGAACAGAAUAAAACAUUAGGAUGCAAUGAUUAAAGAGGCAGAUCAAAUGUGUUUUCGUUAUUGGGCUUCUGCUGAGAAGG